UACGAGGGGGGCGAGCGUUUGUUCGGAAUUAUUGGGCGUAAAGGGUGCGUAGGCGGUUCCGCAAGUCCUGUGUGAAAUCUUCGGGCUCAACUCGAAGUCUGCACGGGAAACUGCGGGGCUUGAGUGUGGGAGAGGUGAGUGGAAUUCCCGGGUGUAGCGGUGAAAUGCGUAGAUAUCGGGAGGAACACCUGUGGCGAAAGCGGCUCACUGGACCAUAACUGACGCUGAUGCACGAAAGCUGGGGGAGCAAACAGG
rnacentral:rRNA from 1 species